CCUACGGGCGGCAGCAGUGGGGAAUCUUCCGCAAUGGGCGAAAGCCUGACGGAGCAACGCCGCGUGAUCGAAUGAAGGCCUUCGGGUUGUAAAGAUCUGUUGACAGGGACGAAUAAGCAAUGCAAAUAGUUUUGUGUAUGACGGUACCUGUGUCGAAAGCUCCGGCUAAAUACGGGCCAGCAGCCUCGGUCAUACGUAGGGGGAAAGCGUUGGCCGGAAUUACUGGGCGUAAAGGGCGCGUAGGUGGGCGCUUAAGUCAGGAGGGAAAACUCCGGGCUCAACCUGGAGACUGCACUUGAAACUGGGUGUCUUGAGGGCAGGAGAGGAAAGUGGAAUGCCGAGUGUAGCGGUGAAAUGCGUAGAUAUUAGGAGGAACACCAGUGGCGAAGGCGACUUUCUGGACUGUACCUGACGCUGAGGCGCGAAAGCGUGGGUAGCGAACGGGAUUAGAUACCCUAGUAGUC
rnacentral:rRNA from 1 species